GCGCCUGGUCUUAUUGCCUUUGGCUUGAGCCGAGUGUGGCUAGUAGCGUUGGACUGAGACUUUUCAAAUGGAAACUUAUUUAUUUAAAAUAAAGAGCGGGUAUUGCCAACAGCGCUUAUUCACCAUCAACAACUUCUAUAUGAUAUUCUAUAUGAUAGAAGCCCUGAGGAUUAAAUAGAAUACUAAUAUAAUAGUAGUAUGCCCAUAAUCUUAGUAGGAGGGGUUAGGCAUAUCGCUGCCAUUAGCACAUUAACAUGUGAAUUCGUAGAGCGGAUCUUUCCGGGUUCAGGACUUUUGUAUGCUGGGGGAAUGCCCCCAAGCCACUAUUCUUUUAGUUAGCCUUACUUCCUUGACUCUAACCAAUCCCAACUGUCGAAUGAAAGAACCCCUGCAUCUACCAGGAAAGAGGCAAGAUCUGAUUUGAUAACAACUCUGUGCAUAACAGCUGAUUUGUCGAC
rnacentral:lncRNA from 1 species